GACGAACGCUGGCGGCGUGCCUAAUACAUGCAAGUAGAACGCACAGUUUAUACCGUAGCUUGCUACACCAUAAACUGUGAGUUGCGAACGGGUGAGUAACGCGUAGGUAACCUGCCUGGUAGCGGGGGAUAACUAUUGGAAACGAUAGCUAAUACCGCAUAAUAUUGAUUAUUGCAUGAUAAUUGAUUGAAAGAUGCUAUUGCAUCACUACCAGAUGGACCUGCGUUGUAUUAGCUAGUAGGUGAGGUAACGGCUCACCUAGGCGACGAUACAUAGCCGACCUGAGAGGGUGAUCGGCCACACUGGGACUGAGACACGGCCCAGACGCCUACGGGAAGCAGCAGUAGGGAAUCUUCGGCAAUGGACGAAAGUCUGACCGAGCAACGCCGCGGGAGUGAAGAAGGGUUUCGGGUCGGAAAGCUCUGUUGUAAGGGAAGAACGGGUGUGAGAGUGGAAAGUUCACACUGUGACGGUACCUUACCAGAAAGGGACGGCUAACUACGUG
rnacentral:rRNA from 1 species